rnacentral:rRNA from 1 species
AGAGUUUGAUCCUGGCUCAGAACGAACGCUGGCGGCGUGGAUAAGACAUGCAAGUCGCACGGAGUGCCUUCGGGCACUGAGUGGCGCACGGGUGAGUAACACGUGAGUAACCUGCCCCUGAGACAGGGAUAGCCCCGGGAAACUGGGAUUAAUACCUGAUGGUCUCGCAAGAGUAAAGCAGCAAUGCGCUCAGGGAGGGGCUCGCGUCCUAUUAGUUAGUUGGCGGGGUAACGGCCCACCAAGGCGAUGACGGGUAGCCGGUCUGAGAGGAUGUCCGGCCACACUGGAACUGAGACACGGUCCAGACACCUACGGGUGGCAGCAGUCGAGAAUCAUUCACAAUGGGCGAAAGCCUGAUGGUGCGACGCCGCGUGGGGGAGGAAGGUCUUCGGAUUGUAAACCCCUGUCAUGUGGGAGCAAGACUUCGGUUUGAUAGUACCACAAGAGGAAGAGACGGCAAACUCUGUGCCAGCAGCCGCGGUAAUACAGAGGUCUCAAGCGUUGUUCGGAAUCACUGGGCGUAAAGGGUACGUAGGCGGCAUCAUAAGUCGUGCGUGAAAGGCAGGGGCUCAACCUCUGGAGUGCGCGUGAUACUGUGAUGCUGGAGUAAUGGAGGGGGAACCGGAAUUCUUGGUGUAGCAGUGAAAUGCGUAGAUAUCAAGAAGAAGACUCGUGGCGAAGGCGGGUUCCUGGACAUUUACUGACGCUGAGGUACGAAGGCCAGGGUAGCGAAAGGGAUUAGAUACCCCUGUAGUCCUGGCAGUAAACGGUGCACGUUUGGUGUGCGGGGAAUCGACCCCCUGCGUGCCGGAGUUAACACGUUAAACGUGCCGCCUGGGGAGUACGGUCGCAAGAUUAAAACUCAAAGAAAUUGACGGGGACCCGCACAAGCGGUGGAGUAUGUGG